UACAGAGGUCUCAAGCGUUGUUCGGAUUCAUUGGGCGUAAAGGGAGCGUAGGUGGCGGGGUAAGUCGGAUGUGAAAUCCCGGGGCUCAACCCCGGAACUGCAUUCGAUACUGCCUUGCUCGAGUACUGGAGAGGAGAUCGGAAUUUACGGUGUAGCAGUGAAAUGCGUAGAUAUCGUAAGGAAGACCAGUGGCGAAGGCGGAUCUCUGGACAGUUACUGACACUGAGGCUCGAAGGCCAGGGGAGCAAACGGG
rnacentral:rRNA from 1 species